rnacentral:rRNA from 1 species
GACGUAGGGGACGAGCGUUGUCCGGAUUCAUUGGGCGUAAAGCGCGCGUAGGCGGCCUGUUAAGUCGGACGUGAAAUCCCUCGGCUCAACCGGGGAACUGCGUCCGAUACUGGCGGGCUUGAAUUCGGGAGAGGGAUGUGGAAUUCCAGGUGUAGCGGUGAAAUGCGUAGAUAUCUGGAGGAACACCGGUGGCGAAGGCGGCAUCCUGGACCGACAUUGACGCUGAGGCGCGAAAGCCAGGGGAGCAAACGGG